UGCCAGCAGCCGCGGUAAGACGGAGGGGGCUAGCGUUGUUCGGAUUUACUGGGCGUAAAGGGCGCGUAGGCGGCCAUGUGUGUCAGGGGUGAAAUCCCGGGGCUUAACCCCGGAAUUGCUCUUGAAACUGCAUGGCUUGAGUAUUGGAGAGGCAAGUGGAAUUCCGAGUGUAGCAGUGAAAUGCGUAGAUAUUCGGAGGAACAUCGGUGGCGAAGGCGACUUGCUGGCCAAUUACUGACGCUGAGGCGCGAAAGCGUGGGGAGCAAACAGGAUUAGAUA
rnacentral:rRNA from 1 species